AGCAUAACACUGAAGAUGUUAAGACGGCUGYUCCUGCACCCAAGGACA
rnacentral:tRNA from 1 species